GAUGAACGCUGGCGGCGUGCCUAAUACAUGCAAGUCGAGCGAACAGACGAGGAGCUUGCUCCUCUGACGUUAGCGGCGGACGGGUGAGUAACACGUGGAUAACCUACCUAUAAGACUGGGAUAACUUCGGGAAACCGGAGCUAAUACCGGAUAAUAUAUUGAACCGCAUGGUUCAAUAGUGAAAGACGGUUUUGCUGUCACUUAUAGAUGGAUCCGCGCCGCAUUAGCUAGUUGGUAAGGUAACGGCUUACCAAGGCGACGAUGCGUAGCCGACCUGAGAGGGUGAGCGGCCACACUGGAACUGAGACACGGUCCAGACUCCUACGGGAGGCAGCAGUAGGGAAUCUUCCGCAAUGGGCGAAAGCCUGACGGAGCAACGCCGCGUGAGUGACGAAGGUCUUCGGAUCGUAAAGCUCUGUUAUUAGGGAAGAACAAAUGUGUAAGUAACUAUGCACGUCUUGACGGUACCUAAUCAGAAAGCCACGGCUAACUACGUG
rnacentral:rRNA from 1 species